GCCUGGAUAGCGCAGUUGGUUAGAGCAUGGUGCUGAUAAUGUCAAGGUUGCAGGUUCGAGCCCCCUAUGGGACA
rnacentral:tRNA from 1 species